ACUACAUAGUGUGGGCAUUUAUGAAUGAGGUCCUUAAGUCUCUCCUAUGUUUCAUAAAAUAAUUCUCCAUCUAUUUGAAAAAAACUAGUGAUGGCUUUCCUAAUUU